AGGCGACGCCAUGAUAGGGUAGGGUCAUUUUCCUUUUGAACGUCGUGGUAACUGGACGUGAGAUCGAAUUCAGAUUAUUAAUUAAUUCCAACGAUCACGUAGAACGCAUUGAACGCACCAACGGUCGUAUUGGAGGACGAGCAGCAGACACCGUGAUGAUUAAUCUCUGAUGACUGGAAUGGCCUGAUAGCGUAAAAGUUUCAAAGAAGGAACGGCAUAUUGACAAAUGGCCG